GUGCUUGCUUCGGCAGCACAUAUGCUAAAAUUGGAACGAUACAGAGGAGAUUAGCAUGGCCCUGUGCAAGGAUGACAUGCAAAUUCGUGACGCAUUCCAUAUUAAA
rnacentral:snRNA from 1 species